GAUGAACGCUGGCGGCGUGCUUAACACAUGCAAGUCGAACGGAAAGGCGCUGCUCUUGUGGGGUGCUCGAUUGGCGAACGGGUGAGUAUCACGCGUGUAUCCCGUCCUUGACUGUGGGAUAACUUCUGGAAACUGGGGCGAAUAUCGGAGAGGAUCUUUUGCAGCAUGGUGGUGGUUGGAGAGAUUCGGCGGUUGGGGAUGGACUCGCGGCUUAUCAGCUGGUUUGGGGAGUAGUGACUUACCAAGGCUGUGACGGGUAGCCGGCCUGGGAGGUUGACCGGCCUCAUUGGGCCUGAGAUACGCAGCAGACUCCUACGUGAGGCAGUAGUGGGGAGUAUUACAGAGUAGGCGGAAGCCUGAUACAGCAGCGCCGCGUGCGGGAUACCGGCCUUCGGGUGGUAAACAGCUUUCGACUGUGCCGAAGAGUGAGUGACGGUACUGAGUAAAGAAGCAACGGCUAACUACGUG
rnacentral:rRNA from 1 species